GGCAGCCCAGGACUUUGUACCUCAAGACCCUAGGAACACCAGCAUCCUCCAGCUAUCUGGGCCACGUUCCAGACUGGCUGAUGGAGCCACCAUCCUUGCUACCACCAGUUCCUUCUUCUGACCAACUGACAUGGAUAGCUAAGUCCAGAAUCCUCAAGAAUAGACCACUGGCCUUAGUUCCGUUCCUUCCCCUAAAGCCGUCAUCCAGGGAAGCAACCUUUGUGGAGCUCUCAUAUGCUGUGUAAAAAAAAAAUUAAUUGUAGCAGGGAUCACGACUCCUUGGGUAAUGGAAUUAAUGAAGAUCAUAGCCGGUAGGCCUCUGGGAAUGAAAUGCAAGCCAUCAACGACUAUAGAACAAAAAGCACAAGCAGUGCCCAGGGAUGGGUCGAAACUCAGGUCGAUAAAGGACCAGCUGACAUUUGCUGUGGAACUCUCUCUGGGACUUCAUAAGGGGGGAUGGGAGAUGGGUUCCUCUCCCCCUUUGCCAGCCAUGGUAGGUGCUUGCACGUGGAAGUGAUCGUAUAUACUCCACCUAGGAGAGCCUGGUCCUUGGGCCUCUGGCUACCUCUUCCAUGUAUAUUUCUUCCCCUGAGUAUGAAUGUCUGAAGGACAAUCUGGAGAAGACAUUUAUAGCAUUGGAGGCCACCUUGUAAGUUUCAGACUUUAGGAGCUUUCUUGCUGUCACAGUUGGAAUUGGCUGGAAACAAGAACUGAUUGGACUUUCUACAAGUCUACCCUUCUCAGGGAAAAUGAUCAUAAAGGGAAAAUGAACCCAAGCCUUGGCCUGGCUUUCCAAAAGAUAUGCACCUUGAUGGAGUUGUUUGAAUAGUGCAAAGAUAAGAUGAAAAUGAAAUGUCUAUUCAACAGUCCCAUAAACACUUCACAUCUUAGUGAUUUAAGUAUCAACCACUUAAAAGAGCA